ACAGUUAAAGGAACUCUACUUAGACUAUUGGAUACUAUGAAAGAAUGAUUACCAAAGAAUUUUAUACAUAAUCAGCACAAAUGCAGAGUUGUUCAAAUAUUUCCCAUCUGCAGGUCGUUGAAUCUGUAGAAGGAGAAUCCAUGGAUGAGGACUAACUGUAGUAAUUCUGAGACCAAGCUCUCACCUUCUACACUAUCAUCCCUGAUCUCAUGCUUGAAGAGAUCCUGCAGCUGAAAUUUAUCAAGCACCUUUUGGCGCUCAGACACCGAAAACUGCACUUGGAGCUGACUAAACAGACGUAGGAGUGAAUCUUCAACAGCAAGCUGUCUCUCUGACAGGUUGUGCAAGCGUGCAUCAACGUUGACAGGGCAAAUGCCUUACCCGUAAGAUGAGCUGGAGAGCGUGGAGAGCCGUGAAGGGAAAGGGGCUUAACUUUACUACCUGCGAUCUGUUCCCUGGUUCUACACCACCUGGGAGCUUGUUAGAAACAGAAUUCCAGCCCCACCCCACCCCCAUCUCAAUCAGUAUCUAACAAGGUCCUCAGGGAUUCGCACCACGUGAGGCUGCAGUAGUAUUGUGUCUAGAAUUCUUCAAACUCCCAUGUUUGAGACAUCACCCUAUUGUUUUUGGGUUUUCAGCCUUUCAGUAUAUUCUUUCAGGUCAGUAUGCUUUAAACGGUGGCAGAUCUGGAGGACAUUUAGUAAAAUGUACAUGUGGGGUACAGGUUCCUGAAGCAGAACAGAGGGUAUAGCCACAUUCUGCUUCUUAAGGCUCCGCUUAUAACCUGCGGUUGGUGCUGGCAGCUGCUGAGAUUGCAAGAGCAUGGAGAGAGAAUGGGCUUCCUGGUGUCACUUCCCGGUGCUCUUCCUCAGCAAAGUUCUACUUAGAAGAAUUUUAGCAAACAAAGCCAUCGUUCCUGUGCACUUGACUUAAUCUGCGACUGUCUCAUCACGUGAGCCCCUACAGGAAGCCAAGGCGAGGCUCAGAGGACACAGCUGCCUUCAUCAGUGGGUGCAGGUAGAACAGCCCCAAUUUUUGUCUGACAAAAACAACUCUGAGAUUGCUGACGCCUGGGGACCAGUGGCCUCACCUGCUCCUCUUCACCUCUAGAGAAACAAUUAUACCCCAUGCCUUCUGCCACCCCCCCAAAAAAAUUCCCAUUAUCUCUUCACGUUCAAGCCAUGAUUAAGACAUAAGCAAGCAAGGGGGACCCACCUGGAAUCUCCGCAUGUCACGUGGGUUCCCCGCAUUCUUUAGGCAAUUUUGGUUACACUUAAGGAAAAACUUCAGGAAGAAUCUGUGGAGAAACAAAGGAUCAUGGUCAGCAUUUCCAUCCUAACGAGGGAGUCAGAGUCAGAAACCACUUCCAGGUCACACAUCCUCAUUGCUUCCCACAUCUCCUGCAAAACUCAGGGCGGUAUUAGAAUGGGUAUUAUAUCUGAGGCGCAAGUCUUGAUAUUCGCAUCCAAGGGGUAUUUUUUUUUUUAUGAAGUGAACACUCUGGAACUGCCAACAGAUCUCACAAAAGAAGCAAAAAAAACCCCAAGGGAGUGUUUUUAUUCAGAGAGCAGGUCUUCAUCACAAUGUAACGUGGGCUCCAAAUGGAUCUAAUUGAGAAUCCCCGUGGUCCCCAAGCAUAACAUAUCACUUGCGUGUUAUAGGUUCACCAGUGAGGAACGGCAACGUGAAAACUGGAUAAAUACGGGGAGAUUGUGAAUACUUAAAACCUUGACAUCUCCAAAUAAAAUCUUCAAAUGAGCAACCCCGGGGAGGGGUAGAAGCAGUGGCAUAACGACUAGACCAACUUCUCCAGUACCACCACAUCGCUUUUCUUAGACACGUGCCUUAAACGAGAGCUGUCUGUGA